CCUUCAAAAAACCUAAGCUGUUGUUGUUCAAAAAUUGUAUAUCCCCAAUUCAAUUUUGGGUAGUUUAGGGUCACCAAUAUACAGAUGUAAAGUAAAAUUCGAUUAUUCAGCUCUGUAUAAAAAGUUUGUUGUUGUUGGAAAGCUUUUUCAAGGGGAUGUCAAAGCAUAAAAAUUUAGAAGUCGUUAGGAUGAUUUUUGUUUUCCAUCGUUAUUUUACGUUUUAAUCGUCAAUUUUAACUCGUGGAAGCCGCCGGAAGAAAUCAUUCUUCGCACUAAAGAGAGUGCAAUUUUCGCACAUCUCCGAAAAGUUCCUCGCCCGUAAAUCGGAAAGAUCCACCGUUUAGUGCUCGAAAUAUGUUAAGGGCUUUGCAGGAGAAAAAUUACCCCUGGUUGGAGCUACCCAAUGUGCCUAAUGACACAUCCGGGGGAAUACAAUCUACAAAUAUACCGUUCUUUAUGAGCUGCUCUAAAACACCGCUGCUUCCGUACGCUAAAAGAAUUAAAAUUCUGAUGAUAAAUAAUUAGCAUCUUUUCCCUUUUCAGUUGCUCUACUGCAUCCGCCCAAAGAACCUGGGCAAGCUGGAAACGGUCCGAAAUCGCCGAAAGCAACAUGUAACAUCCCGAUCGUUUCCCUUGAGGGUGAACCCGAUGAUAGCGGCUAUUCUUCAGACAAGGAGGAUCGGGCGGAUCAGCUUCUUCGAUAAUGGUGUGAGCACUGGAGGCCAAGUUCCAAAUGUUACGCUCUCUUUUAGUGACGUUAAGGAUGCGACGAAAAGCAGCCGUUAACAUUAUUCCGCGGGUAGAAAUAUUGGCCAACAGAACCAUAGAGCUGGAAGCUGGAACGUUGGCGGGAUAAGGAGCAAGCUAAUUUUGUCGUUCCCAAAAAGUAGCCAAAAUCUAACGGUAGUCAUCUCUCCAACAAGAAUGCCAAUUCCGAAAAAAAACAGUAAUUCGACGAUUUUAACGAGCCUACCAAGCAGCUCAAGAUGGCCAGUUUGUCUUUAUUUCUCAAUAAAUUAUGAUUACUACGCAAAAGUAUAAAUUUUUGUGGUUUUUUCCUCUAUAAAUUUUAAAACUUUCAUUUUUGCUCAGAAAUCACAAAAAUGCAUGGGCAUCCCUGUGUCGAAAUAUACAGAAUUGACUAAUCGAGUGAAAGCUCGCAAAUGUGUAAAAGCUCUUUGCACA